rnacentral:rRNA from 1 species
UACGAGGGGGGCAAGCGUUGUUCGGAAUUAUUGGGCGUAAAGGGUGCGUAGGCGGUUUUGUAAGUCUUGUGUGAAAUCUUCAGGCUCAACUUGAAGACUGCACGAGAAACUGCAGGGCUUGAGUGUGGGAGAGGUGAGUGGAAUUCAUGGUGUAGCAGUGAAAUGCGUAGAGAUCAUGAGGAAGACCAGUGGCGAAGGCGGGUCUCUGGACAGUUCCUGACACUGAGACACGAAGGCCAGGGGAGCAAACGGG